rnacentral:rRNA from 1 species
GAUGAACGCUAGCGGCAGGCCUAAUACAUGCAAGUCGAACGCUCAGUAGCAAUACUGGGAGUGGCGCACGGGUGCGUAACGCGUACACAAUCUACCUCUAAGCGGGGGACACCUCCUGGAAACGGGGAUUAAUACCGCAUAAUAUGCCGAGGUCGCAUGACUUUGGUAUUAAAGCAGCAAUGCACUUAGAGAUGAGUGUGCGUCCCAUUAGGUAGUUGGUGAGGUAACGGCUCACCAAGCCUAUGAUGGGUAGCCGGUCUGAGAGGAUGGUCGGCCACACGGGCACUGAGACACGGGCCCGACUCCUACGGGAGGCAGCAGUAAGGAAUAUUGGUCAACUGGUGGAAACACUGAACCAGCCAUGCCGCGUGGAGGAUAAGGUCCUACGGAUUGUAAACUCCUUUUGACGUAGGAAGAAAGUGUUAGAUUUAUCUAA